UGGGGAAUAUUGCACAAUGGGCGCAAGCCUGAUGCAGCCAUGCCGCGUGUAUGAAGAAGGCCUUCGGGUUGUAAAGUACUUUCAGUCGGGAGGAAGGUGGUAAGGUUAAUAACCUUAUCAAUUGACGUUACCGACAGAAGAAGCACCGGCUAACUCCGUGCCAGCAGCCGCGGUAAUACGGAGGGUGCAAGCGUUAAUCGGAAUUACUGGGCGUAAAGCGCACGCAGGCGGUUGAUUGAGUCAGAUGUGAAAUCCCCGGGCUUAACCCGGGAAUUGCAUCUGAUAAUGGUCAGCUAGAGUCUUGUAGAGGGGGGUAGAAUUCCAUGUGUAGCGGUGAAAUGAGUAGAGAUGUGGAGGAAUACCGGUGGCGAAGGCGGCCCCCUGGACAAAGACUGACGCUCAGGUGCGAAAGCGUGGGGAGCAAACAGG
rnacentral:rRNA from 1 species